AUUACAGCUUGCCUUAAAGAAGCAUGCCGAGUCAUAUUCCCUGGCUAGGAAGCUCUCAGAAACUCCAGGCCAGUGGAGCGUGGCCAAGAGAAAUCACACUGGCUCAGGAGACAUCAAGUCUCCUGAUUCUAAUACUGCCUGUGCCAUCUCAGGCUGACUAAGAGACAAGUGUGUGCUUUACCUCUCUGAACCUCUGUUUCUUCAUCCAUUGAAGGGAAGUGUUCCCAUGGAGCAUCUUGGCCAGGAGAUCUGGAUGGCUGGAGGUAUUCUACAGAGAAAGAAGCACAUUUUAUGUAGAAGAGCUGGUGAGGUCAAGAACUGUCUUAUGUCCUAGGAAUAAGCCACAACCUGUCACAUUUCAGCCUCCAAAAGGAAAUUAUUUUCAGGUGGAUCGAAGCUGUAGUUGCUUAAAUCAACCCCCAGAGACAGAUCAUUUUCCUUCAUGGUCACUGGUUCAUCUGCACAGUGAGCUGGAAGAACUCAUGUUGAUUUCCUGAGGAGUAACCAGGACUGGGCCCACAGCCCACAGUGGCCAGGAGAGCCUGGACCUGUGUGGGUCACUCUGGCCCCUUCCCCCCCACUGCCCUUUCUCUGAGGGGAGCACAGCACCACCAGUGCCUUCUACCAUGGUACAGCUCCUUCCUGGCCCUGGCUGCAGUGGGACAGAGCAUGAUUGGUUGUAAGACUGCGGUCUGCAUCAUGUUUACAGAUGACACAAUGGUGCCACGGUGGAGAGGUGACAGCCAGGCUCUGUAAACCUCAUUCCUUUUCCCACCACCCAGGUGUUGAGCUAAGUGUGUAAGCAGAGAUAAACCCAGCAGGCUUCUCCUGAGGGAGUCUCUCUCUGUCUCUUUCUCUCUCCCUUUCUCUCUCUCUCUCUCUCUCUCUCUCUCUCUCUCUCUCUCUCUUUCUCUCUCUCUCUCUCUCUCUCUCUCUCUCUCUCACACACACACACACACACACACACACACACACACAGAGUCAUAUAGACCUCUUUGGGUGAUCUGCUUCAACUAGAGGUGGUGACACUGACACCUGAGGGAGACCAGUGACCUGUGACCCCAGUGCAUGCUCAACUCAGAGGACACAGGCUCCAAAAGUGACUUGCAGCAUCCCAACUGUCACAGAUGAGACAUGGGGUCACUUUUGUCAACCAGUGUCCCAGGGGGGUCUGCAGCUUUGCGUGAGUCCCUGAGCACAAGAGGCAGGUGGUGCCUCCUGCCGGCUGUCAGGGGUGGAGAGGCCAGGCUUCCUUCUGGUGUUUUCAGUGGUUUGUUGUCUGCAGGAUUUUUUUCCCUCUCUCUUCUACCAGCCAUUCUCUUUGCUAGAGGCAGUUAUAUGCUGUGCUGGAUUUAUUGGCCUUAUCUAGAAUCUAUUUUCUCCAAAGGCAUCAUUGCCAACGUCCACUCUUCUAUCCUGCAGUGUAAAGAGAUCUGAAAUGGACAUGAAAUGGAAGAAAUUUAACAUCCAAGAGGAAUCGGAGCUGGGUGGCACAGGACAGUCCUACUCCUGGAGCAGCUCCGAGGCAGAGAGGAUUGCUUAAAUCAAUUCCCCUCACAAUCCGGCAGAAAACCAAGUGAGGCUCUCUUCUGGGUUUAAAAAAGAAAGGAAGAGAAGAAAAGUCAUGUGUGUGUUAAUCUUCUCCCUCUUUUUAUGUAACAGGUUCAGCCCAUGUGUGGGAAGUCUCAAGCCAUAUUACAUCCAGGAGGCAAAUUUUAGAUUUUUGGGCUCCCUGCUUGACAAUGAUGACUGGGCAAAAAAUUCAUCAUAUGCAGUCCAUCAUCACAUCCCAAAAAUAACUACCAAAAAAAGAAAAAAAACUCAAAUCUGUCCAUUUUUGUCUUAGGUGACAUCACUCUCAUCUAAGCCAGUGUUACCUCAUUUGCACUACAACAGUGACCUCCUGUAAUACAUUGCCCUCCUGCCCACUGCUUUUUUACUUCCUUUCUUUGCAGUGCCUCUCCCUGCAGAGGCGAGAGUCGCUCUCAGUUGAACUCAGAAGUGGCCACAUAACUUGAUUUGGACACGAUAAGUAGAAGUGACACAUGACAUACCUAGGUAGAGAUUUCGACAGCCACAUCCCCUUCCCUGGUACUGGGAGCAUCGGUGUUCAGGAUGCUGCUGCUCCACCAGCCAGCUGCUGGGCUGCACAGAUGUGGAGCUGAGCUCCCAGCUGACCUUCAAGGCAUCUGUGGUGGGCUGAGAAACAAAAUUGUGCAAGUAAAAGCUGCAGCAGUGUUGGGUGCUUGCAGCUGCAGCACAGCCAAGCCUGUCCUGGGGGCGGGUCCACUUCCUGAAUGCUUUCUUGCUUUCCACCUUGUCCCACAUCAAUCCAGUCUUCAAAUGCAGCCAAAAUCAUCUCUUAAAAACAAAUCAAACGUGCUAGAAAUCUUUCCACGGGCUUCAGUGGCACUUAAAAUGAAAUCUGAGCUUGCUGUCGGCACCUCUGCUUUGGUCCUUGUUUUUUUGUUUGUUUGUUUUAUUAUUUUUUGUUUUGCUAUCCUCUUCAUGCAUCGCUUGUCCCCAUCACCACUUCCUGUUCAUGUUCCCCAGUGACAGUGGCUUUCUCUCAUUGUCCCUAAGAAACAAGAAUCUUAGCACUGGCCUUUCCCCUAUUUCUACUCGCUAAGACACUAUUUCACCAUUUUUAGCAUAGUUGGCUCCUUCUUGUACUUCCUAUUUCAGCUCAGAUGCCUCCUCCUCCGGGAGCUUUGCCCUGUUUAACUGUUAAAUUAAAUAUUCCCUGCACUUAUGAGCAACCAUAUCCUAUUCAUAUGUGGCACCUUACUGUGGUUCUUAAUCAGCUACCUACGUAAUUGUUUACUUUUCUAUUGAUUUUCUAUUUCCAUGGAGAGAGACACUCCAUUAGGUUAGGCCCACGGAUGUUUUCCCAGUGUUGUGUUCAUUCCUUACCCAGUGACCAGUAUGUAUACACUGAAUGCAGAAUGAAUGAAUGAACACUCACAGUUAGUCUUGUGACAGUAUUGUGGCUCAAGUGAUAGCAGUAGGAGCUCACGUGAAUAUCCUACAUGUCAGAGAUACUUUCAAAGAGAAAAACAUACAUGAAGAGGUAUAGAUCUGAGUGAGACAGAUGCUGACAUAACAGCAAAGGCCUAUUUCUAGGUAAGACAGAAGGCUGGUUCUAAUAUUAAUCCAGAAUGCUAAGAAGCAUUCAAAGAAAAGCAAGACCACAAAUAAAAAUCUCAUGGGCCCAGCCAUUAGACAGGAUUUCCAAGGGACAGUUCUUCUGCCUCCUCACGACCAGUAUUUCAUUCCAAAGCACAACAGCAAAGGAAGGUUUUCUUCCCUUUUGCUCAAUCAUCUAAUAGAACUUGGAAAAUUAAUAAUCCCCAUAUACAUUUUAAUCCCUAAAUUUUUCGUUUUUAAGUUUAAAUAUUUGCAAAAUAGAUACCAUUUUAGUUUUUAAUAAGUGCUUUUUAAAACUCCACUUCACUUUCAUGUUUAUCAAAUUGAACCUCAGUACAGUACUGUAGUGAUUUAGCGCUUACCACUGCGAGGUAUAUGAAUAUGGUCUUCCUUUAUAAGUUACAAGCUUUACAUCAUUCUUUUCUUCUUGAACCUAUGUGAAAAUGAAAAUAUCACUUUGCCCACUGAAUUUUUAAUUAUUAUAAAUUUCUUGACAAUAUCAAUACAUUAUAAAUUUUGAUGAUUAUUAGGCAUAAAAGUCAAACUUACUAAAACUGCAUCUGUCUAUCAAGACUGCUGGUGUAGGGCUAAAAUUCCAGCACUCUAAAACGCUGAGGCAGGAGGGUCACUGGUCCAAACUCAGCCUGGGCAAUUUAGCCACUUAGUGACACCCUGCUUCAGAAUUUUUUAAAAAAUGGCCAGUGCUGUGGCUCACUGUGAAGGCCCUGGUUUGUCGUUAGGGUGAGAGACAUGAGGCUUCUUUUUCAAAUCAGUUGAUGAACCUGUGGCUUAACAUUGGUUUUUGUUAGAUAAGUAAGUUUCAAAAAACAAUUAUAUUUCUAUUUAUUGUUUUAAAAUGUAAUUACAGAGUGAAAGGUUUGGCCCAGACAGGACACUGUAGCCAGGAAAGCCACAACCGGAAGCAGGAAGCCCCAUCUUGCCCUGCCCCUAGGAAGUUACCUGUGAUGCCAUCUUCCCGCCCCUGGGAAUUUACAUAUGGCGCCAAACCUAGGACCAAUGGGCUACCUGUGUAUCCCUAAUGCCCGCCUUAGGUUCCACCCCAAACCGAGGCUAUUUACAGGCCCCCAUGCCACGUGUCCGCCGGAGAGAUCGCCGGACGCCAGCGGUGGGGUUGCCGGUCAUCUCUCUCCGUGUUCUCAGAAUAAAGGCCGCUUUUUAUUUUA